rnacentral:rRNA from 1 species
GUGCAGCAGGCGCGAAUCCUCUACAAUGUGCGAAAGCAUGAUAGGGGGACUCCAAGUGUCUCUCUAAAGAGAGACUUUUGUAGUAUGUAAAAAGUACUACGAAUAAGGGGUGGUCAAGACUAGUGCCAGCCUCCGCGGUAACACUAGCAGCCCGAGUGGUAGUCAUUUUUAUUUGGCUUAAAGCGUCCGUAGUCUGAUUAGUAAGUUCUCUGUGAAAUCCUGUUGCUUAACAAUAGGGCUUGCAGAGAAUACUACCAAUCUUGGAGCCAGGAGGGGUUAGGGGUAUUCCGGGGGUAGCGGUGAAAUGCUAUAAUCCCCGGAGGACCACCAAUGGCGAAGGCACCUAACUGGAAUGGGCUCGACGAUGAGGGACGAAAGCUAGGGGAGCAAACCGGAUUAGAUACCCCGGUAGU